rnacentral:lncRNA from 1 species
CUAGUACUGACAAGUUAACGUGAUUGUUCCUAGUCCUGCAGACAAAAAGCUGGGCUGCAAAGUCCAAUAGUGGAUGUGUGUACGAACACAGCAGUACGUGUUCGCACAGGGUAUGAAGACAGCAGAGGAGAGAAAUGCAAAGAGGGUUUAGAGAAAAAGAAGGCAAAAAGUUUUUAUUUAGUCUCCUACCACUGAAUUGUUUUUCCAAUUUUCCUCAUGUUUGUUUCUGGGGUUAAUUAUUGCAGCUGUGACAAACUGAAUUAGAAAGAAUAUAUUUUAAUUAAACUGUGAAAAGACUACUCGCUUGAGUCUUUACUUGUCUUUUCUUUAGCAGAAUAAUAGGGUAUUUAAUUAACACUCAGAACAGGUUGUAUUCAGAGUUAGAAAAACUCCAGUGCUGAAGCCAGAAUUACUGUUUAUGAAAAAUAGGGCCUAUUAUCCUGAUAGGGUAUAUGUCAAAAAUCCAAAUUAGUUGAUUAAAAACAACAGAAUAUUAGUAAGAUCUAACUCUGUUUAAGUAUAUACUUAUGCUGCCAUUCUGUCAGCUGACUCCCCUUUUCUACUGCCACUGCAAUUGCUCCUACUUUCAGUAAAUAUAUGAGAUAUGUUAAAUGUUGUUAGAAGAGAUAUUCAUGAUUCUUCCCUUUGCUGGCCUACUGUUCUGCUUUUUAGCCUUUCCCAAUGAUAUUGUUGUCGCAGUUCCCUAGUCCUACCUUACUAUUUUGACAAAACAACAAAACCCGUAGUGCAAAAAAGUCUUCACCUCUAAUUCAAGAUGAAAAUCUCUUUGGAGUGUAAAUAGCUAGUCUAUAUUGUGUCCCUUUUCUUUCUUCAGGCAUGAUAUUUCUUGUCAGUUGAUUGUCUCCCAGAGAACAAAAAUGAAGAAGCACCCACUUUAACCAUCUUGAGACUGUGCCUGGAGUUUCUUUCGGUGGUGUUACUUCAGAUAGCAAAGACAGUGAGAGAAUCUUCACCCUUGCUAUUAGUCUUACAAAGGGGACCAACAAAACUCAAUCCUGCUGACUUUUGCAUGCUAAUUAGGUGAGUUGUUUU